UUUAACCAAAAACUUUGUUUCAGGACAAACCAAGAAAGGUCUUGGUAUUUAUCAAGUUUCAGUAUUUUGUCAUUGCUCUGACAAUACUAUCUUUGUUCAAGGAAUUGAUUUAUUUCGAUUUGGUAUCAUUAAUUUAUUCCUGUAUCAGUUUGAUUAUAAUUACUUACUUCGUAGUAGUUCUGAUGAGAUAUUACGAGAAGAUGCUUGAACGUGGCACAAACGUGAGAUACAACUUACUUUAAGAUUCAAGGCACUACAGGGCCACUAUACCAACCCCGCUGUGCGCGACGGGGAAAUGCCUUCCAGAUUACAUAGACUAGGAUUUGUGUAACCACAAGUGCGUUUCUAGAACCUGGGGGUCUUUGUGCAUGUGACUGGAAUAUUUGUGCAACGCCCGCAACACAUGGACUAAAUAAAAUUGUGUUGGAGUGCUUUAAAUAUAGAAUCAUUAUAUAAUAAAUAAAAUUUUUUUUAGAA